rnacentral:rRNA from 1 species
CACCGCGGUUAUACGAGAGACCCAAGUUGAUAGACAUCGGCGUAAAGGGUGGUUACGGAAUAAACACCCCCCACUAAAGUCAAACGCCUCCUAUUCUGUUAUACGCAUUUCGAGGCAAGAGGCCCCACCACGAAAGUGACUUUAAUACUCCUUCCCGAACCCACUACAGCUAAGAAA